UCCCUGGUAGCUCAGAUGGUAAAGCGUCUGCUUGCAAUGUAGGAGACCUGGGUUCAAUCCCCAGGUCGGGAA
rfam:TPA: Bos taurus chromosome 24, whole genome shotgun sequence.